rnacentral:rRNA from 1 species
AAUGAACGCUGGCGGCGUGCUUAACACAUGCAAGUCGAACGAGAACAGCGGUCUUCGGACCGCCCAGUAAAGUGGCGCACGGGUGAGUAACGCGUGGGUAAUCUACCCUUUGGUCCUCGGAUAACGUUCCGAAAGGGACGCUAAUACGGGAUAAGACCACAGGGACUUCGGUCCCAGGGGUCAAAGGGGCUUUCGGGCCUUGCCAGGGGAUGAGCCUGCGUGACAUUAGAUUGACGGUGGGGUAACGGCCUACCGUAUUGUCUACGAUGUCUAGCUGGUCUGAGAGGAUGAUCAGCCACACUGGGACUGGAACACGGCCCAGACUCCUACGGGAGGCAGCAGUGAGGAAUUUUGCGCAAUGGGGGAAACCCUGACGCAGCAACGCCGCGUGAGUGAUGAAGGCCUUUUGGUUGUAAAGCUCUGUCGCCCGGGAAGAACCUUGGGGGUAGGAAAUGACUCUCAACUGACGGUACCGGGAAAGGAAGGACCGGCUAACUCCGUGCCAGCAGCCGCGGUAAUACGGGGGGUCCAAGCGUUAUUCGGAAUCAUUGGGCGUAAAGCGCAUGU